rnacentral:rRNA from 1 species
UACGUAGGGGGCAAGCGUUGUCCGGAUUUAUUGGGCGUAAAGCGCGUGUAGGCGGCUGGGCAGGUCCGUUGUGAAAACUCGAGGCUCAACCUCGAGACGCCGAUGGAAACCCUCCAGCUAGAGUCCGGAAGAGGAGAGUGGAAUUCCUGGUGUAGCGGUGAAAUGCGCAGAUAUCAGGAAGAACACCCGUGGCUAAGGCGGCUCUCUAGUACGGUACUGACGCUGAGACGCGAAAGCGUGGGGAGCGAACAGG